rnacentral:snRNA from 1 species
UCGGAGAGUUCUCCGGUU